GUGUUCUUCUUUAUGGGAUCUAAUCAUAUGGCAUCCCUACAUGCCAUAAGAGCAUCCCAUCGAAUAGGAAGAGAGGGCCUUUAAACCCUUCUUGCUCCUAUAACCGAAUGGCUUGGCGAUCGACCUAAUUCAAGUACUUGCUAAUCGGACCAUCUAAUCUAAUCACAUAUCAUAUAUGCUUGAAUUUAUAUCUAAUCUAAAUUAUAUC
rnacentral:lncRNA from 1 species